AAUUAAUAUAGAGUAGUUUGUGAUUUCGGAUCGUCUCAAGAUCGCUGCAGCACUAGUAAAGAGAGCUUCUAGGAUACCUCAUUAAUAGUGCUGUAAGAAUUUUAAGACGAUUUAAUGAUUAAAAGGCACAAACAAAAAUGCUCCUGUGUUUUUAAAAGCAUAGGAGCUCAACUCUCUCUCUCUCUCUCUCUCUAUAGAUAGAGAGAGAGAGCAGGGCUGCUGUGCUCUCAGGAGCACGGAGGCCUUCGUGCUUCUGAACCGUUUUCGAUGAUGGAAUUUUCGAAUCGACGAUCGGCUCCGUUAGAUUUGAUCUAGAGUAUUUAAAGUUUCUAGAAAAUAAUUUUUGCGAUUUUUUGGUAUCAUUUACCUAGUAACCGAAAUGAUUCAAAAUCAAUAUUUUUUAAUGGUUGAUAUCUGCCGUUUUCAAGUUUAAAAGUGUAGAAGUAUUCAAAUCAGAUGAAAUUUUGAUACAAAAUUCUUUAUACUAUCUACAAAAAGAUUAAUAUUUUUGAUCGAAAAUUUUAAUGCUAUAUCAUCACUUUUUAUAGGAUUUUUAUUUUUAGCCGUUAAAAAUUAUUGAUUUUGAAUCCUUUCGAUUGCUAGGUAAAUAAUAUCAAAAAAUCGCAAAAAUUAAUUUUUUAAAAACUUCAAAUACGCUAGAUCAAGUCUAGCAAAGCCGAUCGUUGAUUCGAAAAUUCUAUCAUCAGAAACAGUUCAGGAGCACGGAAGCCUCCGUGCUUCCCUGCACCUGAGAGCACAUCAGUCCUGCUCUCUCUCUCUCUCUCUCUCUCUAUAGAUAGAGAGAGAGAGCAGGGCUGCUGUGCUCUCAGGAGCACGGAGGCCUUCGUGCUUCUGAACCGUUUUCGAUGAUGGAAUUUUCGAAUCGACGAUCGGCUCCGUUAGAUUUGAUCUAGAGUAUUUAAAGUUUCUAGAAAAUAAUUUUUGCGAUUUUUUGGUAUCAUUUACCUAGUAACCGAAAUGAUUCAAAAUCAAUAUUUUUUAAUGGUUGAUAUCUGCCGUUUUCAAGUUUAACGGUGUAGAAGUAUUCAAAUCAGAUGAAAUUUUAUACAAAAUUCUUUAUACUAUCUACAAAAAGAUUAAUAUUUUUGAUCGAAAAUUUUAAUGCUAUAUCAUCACUUUUUAUAGGAUUUUUAUUUUUAGCCGUUAAAAAUUAUUGAUUUUGAAUCCUUUCGAUUGCUAGGUAAAUAAUAUCAAAAAAUCGCAAAAAUUAUUUUUUAAAAACUUCAAAUACGCUAGAUCAAGUCUAGCAAAGCCGAUCGUUGAUUCGAAAAUUCUAUCAUCAGAAACAGUU
rnacentral:lncRNA from 1 species